UACGUAGGGUGCGAAGCGUUGUCCGGAAUUAUUGGCGUAAAGGGCUCGUAGGCGGUCCGAUUCGCGUCGGGGGAGUAGAAAAGCUGGGGCUUAACCCCAGCCCUGCUUCCUGAUACGGGUGGACUAGAGGUAGGCAGGGGGAGAACGGAAUUCCUGGAUGUAGCGGUGGAAAUGACGCAGAUAUCAGGAGGAACACCGGUGGCGAAGGCGGCCAACUGGACGAAUACUGACGUGAGAACUGAAGGCGUGGGGAGCAAACAGG
rnacentral:rRNA from 1 species